GUCUGAGGAUCAGCUGCAGAUUGUACCAAAAAGGACAAAGCCCUAGGAGAAACAGCUUGAAUUCCACCCUAUGUCAGAGAAACCUUCACACUGAGGGGAGUGGCUUUUUCACACCCCUGCAUGAUCGUUCAUCUGUCUCAGACAUGAAUUAAUCCUCCUACCAUCCCUAUGACAAAGAGUUCCUGUGUGAUGCUGGACAAGCCACCUCUGCCAGACUUUUCAACAGUUGGCCACUACUAUGUGAUUCUCAUUUUCUGGAUGCCCAAUUUGAAACUCUGAGAUGGUGAAGUACUGAGCCCUCAC